rnacentral:lncRNA from 1 species
CAACCUGACUCAUUGGCUCCUGCGAGGCGCGUCGCCCUUUCUCUUCGGCAGUUUGGGGACGGGAGCGCGGCCUUUCAGACCAUCAUCCCUCCAUGCCCGCGCGCCGGCGGAGUUGAGCUGUGUGCGGUAGAGCAGUGCGGGUCACAUGCCGCUGGUCGCCGCGCCUUCUUGCUCCUCUUCCCCCCUGGGCUACCAGACCGCAAGGCGACCGCGGCUGGCGGACACCGAGCAUCCAGGAAGGGCAGUGCGAGCGGAUGCGCGAACAACGCGCUGGUGGUACCCGAGCAUACGGAGGCUGCGGGCCUCCCGGCACCUGCCUGCGCCCUCCCGGGGCCUCAGCUGGGGCCACAGCUGCCGCACCCGCACCCUCGGGGUUGGAGGUGGAGCGGCUCACUCGCCCAGGCGGUGGCAGGGGGCCGUCUCUUGGGGUACGCCAGGGCCUCACCGAACGGAGUUGCAUUGUGGGAAGGGAGCAGCGUGAGGGUAGCCCCGCGACCCAGGGGCGGUGGUGGACUACGGGACGCGCGGGGACACCUUUGGAAACCUGGACACCUACAGUCCCGCCCCCCCCCCCCCCAGAGCAGCUCUGGGGACCCCUUGGGACUCAGAGUGUGACAAUAACCCAAGGGGUCUGCACCAAUAGCCCUGCUGCCCCGGCCACGUGACUCUACCCUUGCUGGGCCUGGAAAAAGGAACAGGCUGAAAGCCAUAUCCGCCUCGGGUUACUUCUCCUGCCCCACUCUUUGUCUGAAGUGCAGCCCCUUAACUGACUGGCUGGCACAGUCGCUUCUCCUUAAAAUGGCGACAGGAAAUCCCACCUACACACCAGCCAAUGAGACCACCACCACCACGGAGUCUGCCGCGUGGAAGCCUGAGUCCCUCUCAUCCGGAUGGCUCCUGUUUUGGGUCCGGCCGGAGAUUCAUCAGCCUGACCACUAAUAAAUUUUAACCAAGAGGAUUUUAUUCAGACACUGACGCCGAGAUGGAAUUCCGAAUGUAGCACCCAGACACCUCAGCCAAGGGUUUACAAAGGCAAAGAAUACAAAGCUUCAAUCUGUUCUCUUGCAAGCUUGUUUACAGAAGCAGAACCAGCAGUUAAAAAAAAAACCAUAAUAAUAAUAAUAAUAAAGAUUAACCCCUAGUAGCGCUUAACAUUUGGAGGUCGAAAUUUGCUUUAAGCACAGAGAUUUUUAAACAUAAAGUUAGCCAUCAACAUGUUAGCCAUCACUGUUCCAUCAAAACAAGAAAUGGCGGUUGAAUCAUGAUUCAAAAAUGACUCUACCUGGAGCCUUUCAAGAGGCUGAGUAAUGAAUGCUGUUUUGCGGUGCUUACAGAUUUUCAGUCUCCUCUGGGAAAGUGGGGGGCCAACCAAGAUUUAAGCUUUUUAGUGGCUGGUAUUCUUGCUCCCUUCCAAUGGCCGUAAAUGGUCGUGGUGAGUUAAACACUGGCUUCCAAAGAAACAAGUGGGAGGUGUGUUCUUGAACAUGCCUGGAAACCGGAAGGUCACUGCAAUCAGAAGGGCAGUUUCUU